GAGUGGCGAACGGGCGAGUAACGCGUGAGCAACCUACCUCGUACUGGGGGAUAACGUCGGGAAACCGGCGCUAAUACCGCAUAAGACUACGAUGUCGCAUGGCGUUGUAGUCAAAGCUCCGGCGGUACGAGACCGGGCUCGCGUCCGAUUAGCUAGUUGGUACGGGUAACGGCCUACCACCGCGAACGAUCCGGUAGGCCGGACUGAGAGGGUCGGGCCCGGCCCGCAAUUUGGGACUGAGACACGGCCCAGACUCCUACGGGAGGCAGCAGUGGGGAGAUAUUGCGGCAAUGUGGGGAAACCCCUGAACGGCAGGCGACGCCGGCGUGAAGGAAGAAGGCCCUUCGGGUUGUUAAACUUCUUUGGGCAGGGGACGAAAGAAAGACGGUACCCUGAGAACAAGCCACGGCUAACUACGUGCCAGCAGCCGCGGUUAUACGUAGGUGGCGAGCGUUGUCCGGAAUUACUGGGCGUAAAGGGGCGUGUAGGCGGGGGGACAAGUCAGAUGUGAGAUACCGCAGCUUAACUGCGGGGCUGCAUCUGAAACUGUUCUUCUUGAGUGUCGGAGAGGAAAGUGGAAUUCCCAGUGUAGGCGGGUGAAAUGCGUAGAGAUUGGGAGGAACACCAGUGGCGAAGGCGGCUUUCUGGACGACAACUGACGCUGAGGCGCGAAAGCGUGGGGAGCAAACAGGAUUAGAUACCCUGGUAGUCCACGCUGUAAACGAUGGAUACUAGUUGUAGGAGGUAUCGACCCCUUCUGUGCCGGAGGUUACACAAUAAGGUAUCCCGCCUGGGGAGUACGGCCGCAAGGGUGAAACUCAAAGGGAUUGGACGGGGGCCCGCACAAGCAGUGGAGCAUGUGGUUUUAUUCGAAGCAACGCGAAGAACCUUACCAGGGCUUGACAUCCCUCUGACCGGUGUAGCGAUACACCUUCCCUUCGGGGCAGGGGAGACAGGAUGGUGCAUGGUUGUCGUCAGCUCGUGUCGUGAGAUGUUGGGUUAAGUCCCGCAACGAGCGCAACCCUUGUCGUUAGUUGCCAGCACUUUGGGUGGGCACUCUAACGAGACUGCCGGCGACAAGUCGGAGGAAGGUGGGGAUGACGUCAAAUCAUCAUGCCCCUUAUGUCCUGGGCUACACACGUGCUACAAUGGCGACUACAGAGGGAAGCAAAGCCGCGAGGUGGAGCAAAUCCCCAAAAGUCGUCCCAGUUCGGAUUGCAGGCUGCAACUCGCCUGCAUGAAGUCGGAAUUGCUAGUAAUGGCAGGUCAGCACACUGCCGUGAAUACGUUCCCGGGCCUUGUACACACCGCCCGUCACACCAUGAGAGCUGACAACACCCGAAGUCGGUAGCCUAACCGCGAGGGGGGCGCCGCCGAAGGUGGGGUUGGUGAUUGGGGUG
rnacentral:rRNA from 1 species